rnacentral:rRNA from 1 species
CCGAGUUUACAACUCCCAAACCCAAUGUGAACGUUACCAAACUGUUGCCUCGGCGGGAUCUCUGCCCCGGGUGCGUCGCAGCCCCGGACCAAGGCGCCCGCCGGAGGACCAACCUAAAACUCUUAUUGUAUACCCCCUCGCGGGUUUUUUUAUAAUCUGAGCCUUUCUCGGCGCCUCUCGUAGGCGUUUCGAAAAUGAAUCA